rnacentral:rRNA from 1 species
CACACCGCCCGUCACACCAUGGAAGUCUGCUGCACAGAAGUAGGUAGUCUAACCGCAAGGGGGGCGCCUACCACGGUGUGGCCGAUGACUGGGGUG